AAUGGGCGAAAGCCUGAUGCAGCAACGCCGCGUGAGUGAUGAAGGCCUUCGGGUUGUAAAGCUCUGUCUUUUGGGACGAUAAUGACGGUACCAAAGGAGGAAGCCACGGCUAACUACGUGCCAGCAGCCGCGGUAAUACGUAGGUGGCGAGCGUUGUCCGGAUUUACUGGGCGUAAAGGAUGCGUAGGCGGACUUUUAAGUGAGAUGUGAAAUACCCGGGCUUAACUUGGGUGCUGCAUUUCAAACUGGAAGUCUAGAGUGCGGGAGAGGAGAGUGGAAUUCCUAGUGUAGCGGUGAAAUGCGUAGAGAUUAGGAAGAACACCAGUGGCGAAGGCGACUCUCUGGACCGUAACUGACGCUGAGGCAUGAAAGCGUGGGUAGCAAA
rnacentral:rRNA from 1 species